AGGGCUUCCGCGUCCUGCAAGCCCAGGGCCACACGGGCCCACCCCAAAGUCCGUGCUGCUAAGGAGCCUGCGGUUCCUUGGGUGGUUCUCAAACUUGAGCUGCUUGGAACCCAGGGGUACACCGGUCGGGCCUGGUUCCUGACCCAGCGAAGUUUUCUAAAAAGGACACCUCAGGAGUGUGUGCAAUCACUCUGUGGACAGGUUCUGGAUUGCCUCUGCAGCCCCUGCUGUCUGAGCCUUUGCAGCCCAGCCAAAGGGAAACCGAGGCACAGAGCUGUUGUCCAAGGUCGCAGUGCUGCUAAGGACCCGAUGUGGGCCGUCCCUGGUGUCCCACACUCGGCAUGUCUCUCAGCACACCAGGCCACCCCAGGUCCCUUUGAUCCUCUGCUCUCUGGGGUCCCCUGGCCUCUUGGCUCCACACGCACGCUGUUGGGAAGAUGUUUCUGUUGUUCAUAAAUGAGAGCACGGAUUGCCCAACUUUGCGCCGAGGAAGGGUAAGCAGCGCAGGGCACAGAGGCGGAAUCGGGAACUGGGUGACGGAAGGCCUCGUGAGGUUUCAUCAUCCCGGGAUCAAGGCUCACAUUCGCCCAGGCCUCACUCAUGCCAAGAGCACACCUUACAGGCUGGAAACCAAGGCCCCCGAGGUCACGGGGUGCACGCACCUGGGGAGCCGGCUGACUCAGGUGGUCUUGCUCCAGGGCGGUGUGACUUCCCCUCCAGGGCUGACCGAAGCCUCCAAGUUGAACUUGCAAUGCGCAGAUACUUUCUAAUUUCCAGAGGAAAAGGCAGGGUGGUAAGAAUGCCCAGCACAAGCUUGGCCCGGAUAGGGGCAUGGCCGGGUCACGGGCACCCCCUGCCGCUCACGUGGGACCCCCACCAAGUGUGUCCCUUGCUUCUCCAGUGACAGUGGCGCCUGUGGAGCUCAGGAGUCAGAUAGGGUGCAGGUGGCGCGCUGCCCCCAGUCCCUGGCCUGAGCCUCUUUUAGUCCAGUUGACAAAACACGACAUUCCUGCGUCAUCGUCAGCUUCCUGUGCGUGGUCCUCCCCGGGCCCUGCAGCCGCCUGUCAACGCUGCCUUCCAAAAUGAGCCCCGUUGGCCUGGCGCAGGCGGAAAGCUCCAGCCCUAGGCCCUACCUGGCCUGGUCUUGGGCCCUGGCUGACCACAGCUCAGCUUGGUUGGAAGUGCACACAGUAAGUGCUUCCGGGUGCUGGCUGCCCGCUCCCCCACACCCCAGCUCCACAUCCAGGUCCUCUGGGCUCUUGGACUCAACAGUGAUUGUGGGACAGCCACCGUGCUCCAUGCAUGGGCGGGGCUGAGGGGCUACUGUGCCUGCCCUGCCCAAUCCCGGGGGACACACGCAGGCGGCCUGGGUUUCUCUACCACCUCUGCAUCCUUCAGGGAGCACAGGGCUUCCUAGGUCCAACUGACAUCCCCAGGAGGGGGGCGUUUCAGGCCGGUCCCUGGGGUGCAGCCAGGAAGCUAAGGCUGAGCAUGGAAUGGCCCUCAGCUCUGGGCUCUC
rnacentral:lncRNA from 1 species